GUUUCGUUGUAUUUGUUUUAUUACACCAACACACACACAGACAUCAAACAAGCCAUUAGCAACUUUCAUUGAUAGCCCAAUACAAUGACUCUUUCAAUCUCCCAUACAACAAUGCGACUUGCGCACAUCACUGUGUGUGAAUUGAGAAUUGUACGACACAAAAAAGCAAAAUAUUAUACAAAAACAAACUUGAAAUCUGUAUGGUAGAUGUAAUAGGAUAUAAUUUCAUGUUAUUACAUUGAAUCGUAACGAGAAGAUGUUCAUUCUGUAAUUCCUUUCAACAGUGAGAGGACGUGCCGUAGUGUGUUGUGUGAAAGUGUUUUUUUUUUCUUGGGCGAACAAAAAAAAAAGAAAAGAGAGAAGAAAAAAAAAUCAAUUGAAAAAUCAAAUUAAUUAUUGCAAAACAAUGUUAAUAACCACCAAUAUGGGAAUACAAGUUGUAGAUCCAAUCGGUUUGAAUAAUGUUAAUUUUAUGCGAUAUGUACGGCCGGUGUCAGUUCAGCGUACAAGACGAUGUUUGUUUGGUCGACCUGAUCCGGAUCAGAAUAAACGGAUCUAUGAAAAUGCAGCAAACAAUGAACGUAAUCGAUGCAUUGAACGUUAUGGUUUUGAUCCAGUGAAAUCUGAAUUUGUUGAAAAUACGGAUGAAAACAAAGAAAAAGAAGUUGAUAAAAUUGAAGUGGUGAACAUUGAUAAAAAUGUGCAAUGUUUGGAAAAUGUUGAUAAACAGAGCGGCGAUAUUGUGAGAGACGAAAAGGAUGUGAUUAAGGGAUGUAGAACACUAAAAAGGCCACAUGAAAAACGAACCAAAGUGUCCGACUACUUUCCAAAAAAGAAAAAACCAUCUUCUUAAAAGGUAUGUGGCAUGAAACAGAUAUCAUCACAAAUCUUAACAACCCCACCACCAAAAAACGAGCUAAAUAAUUUAAAUAUCUAGCUAAACAAAAAUGAAAACUGUUGAUAUUCAAUUGAUCUCUGAACAACAUUAAAGAAACAAUAUUUAUAUUCUCGAGCGCGGAUUAUAUAACAAAAAUAAUGAAAAAAACAAAACAAAAGAAAACAGUAUAAUUCUAAAUAAAACACAUUUGACAGUUUUUUAAGAGUUUGAAAAGUCAUUGAAGUUAUUGAAGUUAUUGAAGUCAAUUCAGUGCUUUCCAGUCAAUGAUAUUUUGGCGCAAAAUUUGAAUAAACCUUAGCGAAUUCAAAUUUCGCGCCAAAAUAUCAUAUAUUGGGAGCACUUAAUUGACCAGGAACUUCGAUGAGUUUUAAAACUCUGAUAAAUCUAAAAUUGUGUUUUCGAGAGAUGAGCACACUGUAAAAAUGAAAAGAAACAACAACAACAAAAAAUUGCAAAAAUAUAAUUUUUAAGAAUUUUAAACAAACAAACAAAAAUGUACAAUUUUCCAUUUGAUGAUAAUCGGCUAAGGAACCAAAGUAUUAAAAGAAAAAGAAACAAAAAAAAACAACUGAAAAAAUAAAAACUUUUUUUUACUUUGAGUGACUGAAUUGUGUUCAAAAUGAAUUUGGUUAUAAAGUUGAUUAUUUUUCGUUAAACAAAAAAAACGCGUUUUUUUAGAUUUAUAUUUCAAAAUGAGUUUUAAUAUUUUAAACGAUUAGAAUAUUAAAGAACUGAUUCUCGAUUUGCUGAUGUAUAUAAGUAGUUAAAACAAUUGUGAUAAAGACUGGAUAAAGGAAAUCUUAUAAUAAUUUAUUGGUGUUUAGAACUCUUAUUUAAAGCGUCUUUUUAAUUGUAUUAAUGAAAAAUCUCACCGAACUUUAAGUAACAAAAAAACACAAACAAAUUUUCUCUUCCAAAUAAAAAAUUAAAACAAAAAAAUCACGUCCCCGAUACCAAUUGAACCGAGAUGAUCAUUUUGCCGUAAAUUGUAAUUGAACCAACAGCAAUAAUUUAGUCGAGUGAUGAAUAUAGUUUUUUUUCGACCAAAUCAAACAUAGAAUUUGAACAAUUUAUUUCGUUACAUAAGUCGAGUGCCGUAAGGAAACCAUCUGCAAGCACGGUGUAAAUAACGAUUUUUAACAUUAAAAACACACAAUGGGGGUACCACAAUUUGAUAUCUCGUAUCCAGGUACUUCUACUCACCGUAAUACGAGAUAUCAAAUUAUAGUCCAUACGAAACUUAAUCAUACCGUGACCGCGAAAGAUUUAUAGGUUCGGAGUAUGAUAAUAGUAUCUUGUGCACCAAGUUUUGGAUGUUCAAUUUUUCAACACAAAUCCAAAUUUUCCUUACGAAAGGAAACAUUCGAAACACGAUGUACAUGAUGCUUUCUGCACACCGAGUGUCACAUUGAACAAAAAACAAUGCUCCUUUUCUAGUAAACUGACCAAAACAGUGCGGAAAUGAAAAAACCGAGCGGAAAUGAAAAAUCAGUGUGGAAAAAUUUUACAUUUCCACACUCGAAUAAGUUACAAAACAUGUCGUAUUGUGACACUCGGUUGCGGAAAAUAGUUUAGAGACUUUGAAAAUUCCUUUGUUGCCGGGCAGAUUUCCAGUAGCUAUGACCUGUAGUUUUAAAAAUUUCGCUAACUCACAUCGAGUUUUAUCUUUGAAAAAUUACGGAAGAUGAUGUGGAAGAUAACGUUGUUGCAAUUGAACUUUGCUUAAGUAAUACACAAUUGUCUGAAUAGAUUUUAAACAUUUGUUUACAAUUUCGACCGAAUUAGCGACGAUGGAUGGUAAAUCAAGAUCAAGCCUGGCAACAAUCAAAAUCUCUUUCUACAACAAGUUGAAGUUAAAGAUGGUAUUUAGACACUGAUUACAGAUGAAUACUCCUUAUGCGCGCAAGGCUAAAACCAUUUCCAAGUUUCCAAGAAUAGAAUUUAUUCCAAUAAAUAACCAGUUCGCCAACCAUUGAUGAUUUGUGCAUCAAUGAACAAACAUUUCAAUAUUAAAAAUGUGAAAAAA